GUUGGAGGGGUGUCCUCCUCUUUCCAGUGGGGGUAUAGGGGACAUUCUCUAGAAUUUUUUUGAAAUAUUGACUUCAUUUGGUGCAGUCUUGGCUGCUUUUUAGGGCAGUAAUUUGACAAAAUAUUAUACACAUGUGCGUAUUGUGCAUAACAGUAGUUACGCCCUUGCUAUUACAUAGAAUUUGCACAAUAUAGCUGACUUUGAUGUUUAUAGAUUUCUUCUGUUUUUCAGGAUAUUCAUUCACAAAAUACAAAUGUAAAAUGGAAUGAUAACUCAGGCAAGAUGAAGCAAACAGACUAGCUAUGAAAGCUGUACCUAAGUGUCACAGAUCAUUUCAAGGACGUAUAGUGACUUAGGAAUGUUCUGUUACUACUAUAUGGAUCUUCAGGGAGUCGUGCAUCAUGUGAACAGUGAUGUUGAAAAGUUCUGAUGAGCCUGCUAUCGUUACAGUCGAGGCAAGUCAAAAAGAGUGAACAGGAGUUAGAAAUUUUGUCUGACAUGGACUUACCUACUAUAAUAUGUAAGCUUC
rnacentral:lncRNA from 1 species